UACAGAGGUCUCAAGCGUUGUUCGGAUUCAUUGGGCGUAAAGGGUGCGUAGGUGGCGCGGUAAGUCGGGUGUGAAAUUUCGGAGCUUAACUCCGAAACUGCAUUCGAUACUGCCGUACUUGAGGACUGGAGAGGAGACUGGAAUUUACGGUGUAGCGGUGAAAUGCGUAGAUAUCUGGAGGAACACCGGUGGCGAAGGCGGCGUUCUGGACUGCAACUGACACUGAGGAACGAAAGCCAGGGGAGCAAACGGG
rnacentral:rRNA from 1 species